rnacentral:lncRNA from 1 species
AGCUUCACUAUGACUGGCAGUUUCACAAGUUCCUUUUCAUCUUCUUUUUCUUUUUUCACAGUAGUCUCUUCUAGAACAUUGGCUGUAGAACGGUUUUCUAAAUCCAUAGGCUGCUCCUCACUUUUCAUCUUUUCACUUUCUUUCUGUUCCUCUUGUUUAGGUGUUUCUUCCUCUUUUUUAGUCUCCUCAUCCUCUAAGCUGGGACUUUCCCGAGAAGAGUUGUCUUGUUGGCUAGAGUUUUUCAAUAGUACAGGAUCAAUUUGUGCUUUCAGGAGUGCAAGAGUCUCAGCCAACUCGUUUCGAUUUCUGACAAUGCAUUUCCAUGAAGAGCCAUCUUGAUCAUCUUGUUCUUCUAUGUACAUUCUGACAUUGUGAUCUUGAUCCAAUUGGUACCAGUACAUGAGGCCAUCUUUGUCUCGACCAAUUGGCUGGAGACGCAUAGUAUCG